GCAAUUGUGGCCUAGUGGUUAGAGCGUCCGCCUCGAAUGCGGAGGUCGUGGGUCGAGUCAUACCAAAGACUUAUA